rnacentral:rRNA from 1 species
CGCGUAGGUGGCUAAGUAAGAUGGGUGUGAAAUCCCCGGGCUCAACCUGGGAACUGCUUUCAUAACUGCUUGGCUAGAGUACGGUAGAGGGUAGUGGAAUUUCCUGUGUAGCGGUGAAAUGCGUAGAUAUAGGAAGGAACACCAGUGGCGAAGGCGACUACCUGGACUGAUACUGACACUGAGGUGCGAAAGCGUGGGGAGCAAACAGGAUUAGAUACCCCCGUA